GACGAACGCUGGCGGCGUGCUUAACACAUGCAAGUCGAACGGAAAGGCCCCUUUGGGGGUCCUCGAGUGGCGAACGGGUGAGUAACACGUGAGUAACCUGCCCUUGACUUCGGGAUAACUUCAGGAAACUGGGGCUAAUACCGGAUAGGAAUCCUUGCUGCAUGGUGGGGGUUGGAAAGCUUCGGCGGUUUUGGAUGGACUCGCGGCUUAUCAGCUUGUUGGUGGGGUAGUGGCUUACCAAGGCUUUGACGGGUAGCCGGCCCGAGAGGGCGACCGGCCACAUUGGGACUGAGAUACGGCCCAGACUCCUACGGGAGGCAGCAGGGGGGAAUAUUGCACAAUGGGCGGAAGCCUGAUGCAGCAACGCCGCGUGCGGGAUGACGGCCUUCGGGUUGGAAACCGCUUUCAGCAGGGGCGAAGCUUGUGGUGACGGUACCUGCAGAAGAAGCACCGGCUAACUACGUG
rnacentral:rRNA from 1 species